ACGAUUCUUGGUCAUUUAGAGGAAGUAAAAGUCGUAACAAGGUUUCCGUAGGUGAACCUGCGGAAGGAUCAUUAAAGAACGCCCCGUUUCUUGAAAUGGGUAAUUCCAAACCGUGUAUACAUACCUUUGUUGCUUUGGCAGGCCGCCCCUCGGGGCGUCGGCUCCGGCUGACUGCGCCUGCCAGAGGACCCAAACUCGUUUGUUUAGUGAUGUCUGAGUACUAUAUAAUAGUUAAAACUUUCAACAACGGAUCUCUUGGUUCUGGCAUCGAUGAAGAACGCAGCGAAAUGCGAUAAGUAAUGUGAAUUGCAGAAUUCAGUGAAUCAUCGAAUCUUUGAACGCACAUUGCGCCCCUUGGUAUUCCGAGGGGCAUGCCUGUUCGAGCGUCAUUAUAACCACUCAAGCCUCGGCUUGGUAUUGGGGUUCGAGGUUUCUCGGCCCUUAAAAUCAGUGGCGGUGCCAUCUGGCUCUAAGCGUAGUAAUUUUUCUCGCUACAGGGUCCGGGUGGUUGCUUGCCAGAAUCCCCCCCUUUUAAGGUUGACCUCGGAUCAGGUAGGGAUACCCGCUGAACUUAAGCAUAUCAAUAAGCGGAGGAA
rnacentral:rRNA from 1 species